UCCUGAUUUUCACCACGACUUGCUGUUUUGGUUUCACAAUAAUUCAAUGAAUGCACCGACAAUACAAUUGAAUGGGGUAACGUUGGGUAGUACACAGUGACAUAACGACCCUUUUGUGUUAUGGGUUACUGAAUAUAGAACGAGAAAAAGACGAUAUGCUUGACUCGAUGAGACAUGUGACCGUAGAUGAAGCAGAGAGGAGCUGAAGGGGGGGAUUCGCCCAGUGAGCCAUACCAGCCAGAACCGCCACUGAUGCUACCAAACCAUGACUUGGGACCAAUCUUCGCCAAGAUGUCACAGGACCUGGAGUCUGUAACCAUUGACCUCUACACCAACUACCUUGACCCAGUCACUGACCACCUGCCCAUGUUUCCCAUUAGGACACAAGCUGAACUUCAACCUGAGGCUGAACUGCUUUGAAACAUGGGCAGACACAGAGGGGGAAAGAAGCUGCCAUGUCUCCUCCAACGGAGGUGCCUUGACUAUUCUUGGCGCUCUGCUCCUAGUCAGAGGCUCUAUGACCAACAAGUCACUUUAUCUAUCAAAUGUAUGGCUACCACUGCAGAUGAC